rnacentral:rRNA from 1 species
AGAGUUUGAUCCUGGCUCAGGAUGAACGCUAGCUACAGGCUUAACACAUGCAAGUCGAGGGGCAGCAUCAUCAAAGCUUGCUUUGAUGGAUGGCGACCGGCGCACGGGUGAGUAACACGUAUCCAACCUGCCGACAACACUGGGAUAGCCUUUCGAAAGAAAGAUUAAUACCGGAUGGCAUAGUCUUCCCGCAUGGGAUGACUAUUAAAGAAUUUCGGUUGUCGAUGGGGAUGCGUUCCAUUAGGCAGUUGGCGGGGUAACGGCCCACCAAACCAACGAUGGAUAGGGGUUCUGAGAGGAAGGUCCCCCACAUUGGAACUGAGACACGGUCCAAACUCCUACGGGAGGCAGCAGUGAGGAAUAUUGGUCAAUGGACGAGAGUCUGAACCAGCCAAGUAGCGUGAAGGAUGACUGCCCUAUGGGUUGUAAACUUCUUUUAUACGGGAAUAAAGUGAGCCACGUGUGGCUUUUUGUAUGUACCGUAUGAAUAAGGAUCGGCUAACUCCGUGCCAGCAGCCGCGGUAAUACGGAGGAUCCGAGCGUUAUCCGGAUUUAUUGGGUUUAAAGGGAGCGUAGGCGGGUUGUUAAGUCAGUUGUGAAAGUUUGCGGCUCAACCGUAAAAUUGCAGUUGAUACUGGGUGUCUUGAGUGCAGUAGAGGCAGGCGGAAUUCGUGGUGUAGCGGUGAAAUGCUUAGAUAUCACGAAGAACUCCGAUUGCGAAGGCAGCUUACUGGAUUGUAACUGACGCUGAUGCUCGAAAGUGUGGGUAUCAAACAGGAUUAGAUACCCUGGUAGUCCACACAGUAAACGAUGAAUACUCGCUGUUUGCGAUAUACUGCAAGCGGCCAAGCGAAAGCGUUAAGUAUUCCACCUGGGGAGUACGCCGGCAACGGUGAAACUCAAAGGAAUUGACGGGGGCCCGCACAAGCGGAGGAACAUGUGGUUUAAUUCGAUGAUACGCGAGGAACCUUACCCGGGCUUAAAUUGCAACUGACUGAACCGGAAACGGUUCUUUCUUCGGACAGUUGUGAAGGUGCUGCA